CAAUUCUCACUGCUCACGUGAUCUUCUACUGUGAAUAUGGCGGCCGCUAAGUCUCGUCGAGCAAACAAGCAGCAACAGCAGCGAGCAGCUGCUAAUACAGCAGAAUCAAUCUCGAUGACAACCAAUGAGAAAAUAUUGAAAGAAUGUCAUGAUCUUUAUGUAACAGAGAAAAAUGGUCUCAUUGCUUUAGGCAAAGAAGUAGAUUACCCUCUCGUUCCUCCUCGUAAGAAAAUUACUGUAUUACUCAUCGGGAAUCAUUCAGCUGGAAAAAGCUCAUUUAUUAAUUGGUACAUUGAGGAACAUGUUCAGAAGACGGCAGUUGCCAUAGAAACGCAGGGUUUCUCGAUUGUGACUAGCGGAAAGAAGAGAGAGUCCCUCACAGGAAAUGCAACUCUUCAUCUGUUUCCACAAUUCAGAGAACUAUCAGAGAUUAAUGGUGUGGUUGACUACCUCAGUACGGAGGUAGCCACAUCAAAACAAAAGAGGUUUCCAUUUGUCACGUUUAUCGAUACCCCUGGACUCGUCGACGGUGACAUGAAGUACCCGUUUGACGUGGAGAAGACGCUUAUCUGGUUAGGAGAAAUGGCCGACCUUGUGUUUGUGUUUUUCGAUCCUCUGGGACAAGCAUUGUGUAGAAGGACACUUGAUAUUGUUGAGUGUCUCAAUGCAAAACAUCCUGAGAGAAUCAAGUUCUAUCUGAGUAAAGCGGACACAGCUGGUACUCAAGGGGACAGACAGCGUGUCCUAAUGCAGAUCACUCAAGAACUGUGCAAAAGACAGGGUCUGAACAGGGCCGGGUUUGACAUGCCGACCAUCUUCAUACCAUCACUGACAGAGAAGACAACUUGUGAUAAUCACAUUGAUGAAGUCUGUGAGACCAUCACUAAAACUAUUGACAGGAAUAUACAAAAUACACUCAAUACAUUGGAGAAAGACGCUGCAACAAUCUCAUCACUCUUCCAUGACAAACUAAACAAAGACAAGGAAACCAAUCAGCUUAACAUGAAGGCAAGGUGUAGAUCAUUCAUAGUGUGGUUCUUUGCUUUGCUUUUUCCAGCUAUUUAUGCUUAUUAUGCUGCCAAGAAUUGGGACUCGGUUGACAAGAUCAAUAUGAGUGAUUUAUAUUACUUACUCGGAUUUAGUCUCAUAAGUUUAAUAAUAUUUGUUAUUGGCUGUAAAAUGUACAGGAUUAAACGUGCUAUGAGUAAGAAGGAGAGAGCUCGUGUCCAAGAGAUAAUUGCUUACAUUGAUAAUACUGUCAAAACGAAAAAAGUAAAUGCAAUAUGUUUUGCCAUUUUGAUUUUCUUUGUAGUCCUCUUCGUAUCAAGAUUAUUUAAGUCAAAGUGUGUCUGGUAUUGACAUGCUAAAUGAGAAAUAUUAAAUCUUUUUAAAUAAGUUUUUAUCGGAGCAUGAAAAGACUUUAUUUAAUAGAUAUUUGACAUCACAAACUUCUAAAGAUAUUAAAUUAUUUUUGAUUUAAUGUUGACAGAUCAUGUAGCACAA
rnacentral:misc_RNA from 1 species